AUCUCCUUCACGCCUUCUCGCUAGCUGUUCUUUCCUCCUCUCUCAACCCUAACCCUAGAUCUCUGCUACCUUCCUCCUCCCCUCCAGCUAGCACAAGUCUGUUCAUCUUGCUGUCUUUGUUGCUCAUCGUGCUCCAGUUCUGUUCCUAGCUCGCUACAUAUAGCGUUAUACUGCAUGCCCAAAACGGAACACAUGUUUGUGCUCUCCUGGCCGGCCAGUCUCUUCAUUCCUUGCACAGUUGCAAAUACAGUUGUGUGACAGAGAUAAACAGAGAGUCAAAUACGUACAUAAAGAGGUUUGAUCAAAUUCAGAUUUGUGUGCGUGCCUGGCUCCCUGUAUGCCACACAUGUAGCGCCCAACCCAGAUGCUAAGGUUGCCUGCUGUGGGUGGCGUGCAAGGGGCCAAGCAUGCAUCCAUGCAUGCAUGCACUUUUGUUCGAUUCAUUCUUCAUGCCACUUUUUGAUGGCUAGUACCAUGUGUGUGUUUCCAUAUGUUCAUGUUUCGAUAUGAUGUAAUUUCAUGUUUGGUAUAUAUGCAUGCAUAUAUAUACAUCUCCUCCAUUCUUUUUGCACAGGGAGCCGGCCCAAGGGAGGAAGCUAUAGCCAAACUGGUGUGUGGAUUACAAUUUUGUGUGCUUCUCCUCACCGGCCAGUUUGCCAGAAUAAUGGCAGCAGCUUGCUCAGCUCCGAGAAGAAACCAGCUGUGAGGUUAUCAGGAACUUGUAUGGUUUCAAUUUGUUUGUGGUUUUUAACACAUGGCAGAUCGAUCAUCCUUUGCCUCAAAUGAAGUACACAUAUCGCUAG
rnacentral:precursor_RNA from 1 species